rnacentral:rRNA from 1 species
UGGGGAAUUUUGCGCAAUGGGGGAAACCCUGACGCAGCAACGCCGCGUGCGGGAUGAAGGCCUUCGGGUUGUAAACCGCUUUCAGCAGGGAAGAACCUAGACGGUACCUGCAGAAGAAGCUCCGGCUAACUACGUGCCAGCAGCCGCGGUAAUACGUAGGGAGCAAGCGUUAUCCGGAUUCAUUGGGCGUAAAGCGCGCGUAGGCGGCUUGUUAAGUCAGGUGUCAAAUCCAGGGGCUCAACCCUUGUCCGCACCUGAAACUGGCAGGCUUGAGUUUGGUAGAGGAAGAUGGAAUUCCCAGUGUAGCGGUGAAAUGCGCAGAUAUUGGGAGGAACACCGAUGGCGAAGGCAGUCUUCUGGGCCAUAACUGACGCUGAGGUGCGAAAGCUAGGGGAGCAAACAGG